CAUCACUGGUGUUCGGGUUGUCAUGCCAAUGGCACUGCCCGGUAGCUAAAUGCGGAAGAGAUAAGUGCUGAAAGCAUCUAAGCACGAAACUUGCCCCGAGAUGAGUUCUCCCUGAGACUUAGAGUCUCCUGAAGGAACGUUGAAGACGACGACGUUGAUAGGCCGGGUGUGUAAGCGCAGCGAUGCGUUGAGCUAACCGGUACUAAUGAACCGUGAGGCUUAACCUUACAACGCCGAAG
rnacentral:rRNA from 2 species